AGGACGCUUGAUUGCAAUAGUUUUGGAAGAUAUGAAAUUGCCUUGUUAUGUUUGGGCAUGAUGCAUUUCCACUUUGGGCAUCCAAAGCAAGCUUUAGAGGUUUUAACUGAAGCUGUUUGUUUCUCUCAACAGUAAUGAUACUUCUCUUGCAUACACGUUGGCAGCUAUUUGCAACUUGUUGGCUGAAAUUGGAAUCUCAACCACAACUGGGAUUCUCGGAUCAUCCUACUCACCUAUAACCAGCAUAGGCACUUCAUUGUCUGUCCAGCAG